GCGGACGUGGUGCACGGCGCACCGCUGCGUUCUAUGGUGCAGAGGUGCAAGUACAAGCAGUUGAGCGGGGUUCGACUCCCCGCGUCCGCC